rnacentral:rRNA from 1 species
UGGGGAAUAUUGCACAAUGGGCGCAAGCCUGAUGCAGCCAUGCCGCGUGUAUGAAGAAGGCCUUCGGGUUGUAAAGUACUUUCAGCGAGGAGGAAGGCGAUGCGGUUAAUAACCGUGUCGAUUGACGUUACUCGCAGAAGAAGCACCGGCUAACUCCGUGCCAGCAGCCGCGGUAAUACGGAGGGUGCAAGCGUUAAUCGGAAUUACUGGGCGUAAAGCGCACGCAGGCGGUCUGUCAAGUCGGAUGUGAAAUCCCCGGACUCAACCUGGGAACUGCAUUCGAAACUGGCAGGCUUGAGUCUUGUAGAGGGGGGUAGAAUUCCAGGUGUAGCGGUGAAAUGCGUAGAGAUCUGGAGGAAUACCGGUGGCGAAGGCGGCCCCCUGGACAAAGACUGACGCUCAGGUGCGAAAGCGUGGGGAGCAAACA